CUUUUACCCAUGUAGAAACGUAAGCAAAAUCUGUUAGUAACUGAAAAGCACCAUAUUCGCUGGAAAAAUAAAAAAAAUAUAGAAAAGGUGCCACAUCGCUGUUCUUCCUCCAGUAAUUUGAUCGUGGGAAGCACAUGUGUAAAUUCGCAAGGCUAACCACACGACAAAUCUUGGCGAGAAUGUCCAUGCACUUUGCUGGUGUAUCCUGUCGAUUCGCGAAUAUCCGAUAUAAUAAACUUUAGAUAAAUUAUGGUAUUACCUGCAACAACUGUACGUUGGCGUUCACCUCGGAAACGAUUUUCGCUCUCAUUUUGACGCAAACGAGCACUUGAACGCUAACGGAUUCCUCUGAAAGUGCACUCGAAUGAUCAGCGAGCUACAAUCGAUAGAGAUUUGAUUCGACAAUUGAAUCUGAUUUUAGAAACAGAAUAGGAUAAUUCUUCGAGAGAAUUGACGACAUCGCCCUUGACCAUUAAAAAUAAGACAUCCAAAUCCCAAGUGUGAGCUAUCAUCUU